rnacentral:rRNA from 1 species
AUACGGAGGAUCCGAGCGUUAUCCGGAUUUAUUGGGUUUAAAGGGUGCGUAGGCGGCCUUUUAAGUCAGCGGUGAAAGUCUGUGGCUCAACCAUAGAAUUGCCGUUGAAACUGGGAGGCUUGAGUAUGUUUGAGGCAGGCGGACUGCGUGGUGUAGCGGUGAAAUGCUUAGAUAUCACGCAGAACCCCGAUUGCGAAGGCAGCCUGCCAAGCCAUGACUGACGCUGAUGCACGAAAGCGUGGGGAUCAAACAGGAUUAGAUACCCUGGUAGUCCACGCAGUAAACGAUGAUCACUAGCUGUUUGCGAUACAGUGUAAGCGGCACAGCGAAAGCGUUAAGUGAUCCACCUGGGGAGUACGCCGGCAACGGUGAAACUCAAAGGAAUUGACGGGG